AUGGUGUGGGGGAUGGCAGGUGCUGUGCUGGGGCGUGCUGGGCCGUCCCGUCCUCUUGCAGCAGCUGUGAGCCCGGCAGAGCCAAAGGAGGAAUUUGAUGCUAAUGAAAGCAGCCUUCAGAAGGCUGGAGGGGCUGCAGGGGCCGCUCUUCUGUGUGAGUGCACAGGUGUGGCUUCACAGAGGAGGCCGCUGUAUUUCCUACUGCACCGCCCGCCCUUGGCUGUCGCCUCCCCUUCUGCAAGGCGCUCAGCUCAGCCUUCAAGUGCCGAUUUGAAUUUCUUGUCUCCACGUUUCAUCGCCCACCAGAGAACCUCACUGAGCGACGUUCCUUUGCCCCCGCACACCCACACAUCCUCCCUUCCCUGCUCAGGGCUGCCCUCCAACUGGCCGUGGGCUGAGGCUGCCCAGCCCCUCCAGACACAGCAGCCUCAGUUUCCCCUGCUGCCCCCUGGGGCAACCGCUGUCUGUGCCAAAGCACAGUCGCUCCUGGGCCCCGCUGUGAGCCCCACCUCUUCCAAGGGCUGGGCUGUCUCCUUUGCUGCUCUAGCUCCGAAGCUGUGCCUUCUCUUGCCUGCCCUGGGCGCAGCUCUCCCUGGGCACGCGGUGGGCUGGGGCUGCGGGGCCUGGCAGCGGGCCGUGCUGUGGCGCCCAUCACAAGUAGAGGAGCUGUGGUCCCCGAGGAGUGCAGGAGCUUUUAGAAAUGAAUCACCCCGAAAUCCCAAACACCUGCUGUCCUUGAGCAGCAGCAAAACCAGCCUGUCCCAAGAAUUGGAGCCAUUGAGGGAACGCGGCGAUGGCGAGAGCGUUUUUCACACAAAACAUGACAUAGCGAUGCCUUAUGCUGGUGGGAGGGAAUGGGAAGGGGUGCUGAGCAGAGCGGGGCGCCGCGGGCUGCCAGCCCCCUCCUCAGCCAGCGGAUCCAUCAUCGUUGGGCUGUCACACAGACAUUUCAUUAGCACAGGUUCUCACGUGGUGCUUGGCCUGAACGCAGUCAGUCUUCAAUAA
rnacentral:lncRNA from 1 species